AUUCAGCUGACGAGUCCCAAAUAGGAUGAAAUCCACGUUCUGAAU
rnacentral:hammerhead_ribozyme from 1 species